UACGUAGGGGGCGAGCGUUGUCCGAAUUUACUGGGCGUAAAGAGCGCGUAGGCGGGCUCUUAAGUGAGAGGUGAAAUUUUCGGGCUCAACCCGAAGCGUGCCUUUCAUACUGGGAGCCUUGAGUGUGGGAGAGGCGAGUGGAAUUUCUGGUGUAGCGGUGAAAUGCGUAGAUAUCAGAAGGAACACCCAUGGCGAAGGCAGCUCGCUGGCCUACAACUGACGCUGAGGCGCGAAAGCGUGGGGAGCAAACAGG
rnacentral:rRNA from 1 species